CCAUGGACCAUGCGGCUCCACCCCUACCUAGCUUGUUCUUUUCACCUCCCAUGCCUCCAUCUCUAUAUAUAGAAGAAGCAGUCAUUCAUCCGCGGGCGGGGUGCGCGUGCGACUUAGACUGUGAGGAGGUUCUUGUUCCACCGGCAACGUCUGUUUGUUCCUGCUAUUCUACUUUUCUCCUCCCCCCUACAGAAUUCAAGAGAUGGAAGAUUGGGGUGGCAGCUCACCGUAUUCCUCCGCUCCAUCCACCACGGCGGCAAGAUGUACCAGGUAUACGAACAAGCAGAUCAACAAGUGGAUCUAGGUGCUGCCAUGGCACGGCUUCGAUAUGGACGAGGAAGUCCAGGAGCAGGUGUCACAGAAGCAAGCCAGUCCAAUCUAAACCACAUGUGCCCAAUCCGAUUCUUUUCUACCAAUGAUUCUGUAUUUCUGUUCCCAUGCAUGAGGAAGACCAAGAAUCGGUCUCUCUCAUCUCAGAAAGCAACUCCAAGCUCAGUAUUCCUUUUGUGAAAUAAUAUGUCAGCCUGUUUGUUUCA